ACGCUGGCGGCACGCCUAACACAUGCAAGUCGAACGAAGUAGCAAUACUUAGUGGCAGACGGGUGAGUAACAUGUAGGUAUCUGCCCUUUGGCCUGGAAUAACACGAGGAAACUUGUGCUAAUACCGGAUAAGUCUUUACGGAGAAAGCUUUAUGCACCAUUGGAUGAGCCUGCACUUGAUUAGUUUGUUGGUGGGGUAAUGGCCUACCAAGACUUUGAUCAAUAGCUGAUUUGAGAGGAUGAUCAGCCACAUUGGGACUGAGACACGGCCCAAACUCCUACGGGAGGCAGCAGUGGGGAAUCUUGCACAAUGGAGGAAACUCUGAUGCAGCGAUGCCGCGUGAGUGAAGAAGGCCCUUGGGUUGUAAAGCUCUUUCGUCGGGGAAGAAAAUGACUGUACCCGAAUAAGAAGGUCCGGCUAACUUCG
rnacentral:rRNA from 1 species